GAAGGCUUUUGAAGUUUGAAGCCAAUUUGAACAUUCCGUAAUGCAUUUCUAAUGGGAGAAAUCGGUCGGAAAACCUGGAAUAUCUCGGAAAGUAUGAAUGUUUGGAAAUUUUUGAAUACAAGCCGGAAUCUCUGGAAUGAGACAAAUCUUUUGAAGUUUGAAUGGUUUGAAUACGUUGAAGUAUGUGGAAGUAGUUGACUGCCAAAAAACGGCGGAAUAAUAAUAAUAAUAAUAAUAAUAACUAGAAAAUGCAAUUUCUGAAGAAAUUGCGAGUGGGAUUGCUUCAGUUGAAAUUGCUAUCGCUACGCUGCUAUUGCGAGUGGCUGAAUUUUAAAAUAUGUGAAAGGUCAAAAGGUAUGAAGUAUCAGGAAGAUUUGAAUCAAUUGGAAUAAACUCAAUUGAAUGAAUUAAAUAAUGCAUGAAUAAUCUUUAAAAUUCAACGUUUGAAAAUUAAAAUGAUUAAAAACCCUGAAGUAUGGGAAAGGCUUGAAGAGUCAAUAAGGUUUGAAUCAGUUUAAAUGAGCUGUAAUUUGUUUGAAAGAACUGAAUCAUGCAUUAAGAGUAAAAAAUGAUUUAAAACUGGGAAAUUAAAAGGUUACAAAUCUGGAAGAAAAAAAGUCUUGAAGAAUGAAAACGGUUUAAAUCAGUUUGAAGGAGUUUAAAUUAGUUUGAAGAAUUAAAUAAUGCAUUUUCAAUGAAUGAUUGAAAAAUGGGGACAAUGUAAAUGAAUAAAAAUCCUGAUUAGACCCCAUAAUGUCCUCAAUGAGCUAAAUUUAUUAAGCUCUGGAUGGUUUCUGUAGCUCAAGGUUUGUGCGAAGAGAUAGAUGACAAAUUUCGUCAAAUAACGCUAUUGAAGGGUUUUAAAUGUCACCCCCAGUACUCUGUGUACUGAGCCUGGCUUCAUGUGUCUCAUAUGGCUGUUAGAAGCAGC